UAACUUUAGCAGUACGUAGACUAAAAUUGGAGCAGUGUUAAGAUGAGCAUGGGCUCCACACAAGGAUGACACCCAAAUACAUGAAGCAUUCUGUUUUGAU
rnacentral:snRNA from 1 species